AGCCCCGAGGUGCAUAAGACACAUCAGAUUGCAAACCUGAAGGAGCCAGCUGAAUUCUGGCCGGGGCUU
rnacentral:tRNA from 1 species